GAAAGGUCUGUGCCCCUUGCUGGCAAUAAACAGUCCUAGCCUGUUGAGAAUUGAGUCCAGUCCAUUCUUUCUCUGUUCUCCAUUUUCCUAACAAUGAUGAGGAUGGAUCCCAGUGCUUGAAUGCUGCAUCCUUAGUUCCUAAGGGAUUUUUUUGGCACCACAGUGCAGCCAAAGGUAGAGUGGCAAAUCAGAAUGGUUAAACACUUGAAUAGCUUGCCCAGCGUCCUGGAUUUAAUAUCCAGCACACAAAUAAAAGCAAAAACCUUGUUAGAAAAACAUAACAUUAUCCUUGUUUUAUCAUUUCCAGGUUUCUCACUUUGAAGGGCUGGAGGCAUGGCUCAGCUGGUGGAGGGCCAGGUAGUGAGCGUGUGUCAGGUCAAAUUGAAAGGUCUCGGAGUCAGCUUGCCAUUAAGUCCCUGCCCUGUACCCAUUUACAAAAAACUGAUGUUUCCCUGAUGCUGUGCUGCUUUUCCUGGUGUGGAAAUACAGAGUCCCUUCCCACUUACAACAGUCUUGUUACACUCCUUCUCAGGAGACUCUCCCUCCAGUUCUCGCCCCUAUGUAACACCUCCUUCUUGGAACUGGCUCUUCCCCCCAAUUCCCACAGCCCAUGUAAUGUUGCCCCCUAAAAUUUUGUUUCAGUUCCACCCACAUCUGUCCGCCUCCAUUGCUGGUUGGAGCAGCCCCGGCAGGUCUGUCCCCCAAUAAAGCCUGGAGCCUGUGUCAUU